UCUGUUAUGAUUCUUGGAGAAUGAAAAAUGUCUUCUCAAAUUCUGUUACAAUUAGUGAUUUGUACCAAUGCUAAUCCACUCUACUAAUCUCAAUUAGCAAAUUUGAAGUGAAAUUAGUGAAAAAUGAGUUAUGUGAACAAAAUCUGGAAAAUAACUAACUCAACAACCAAAAAACAGCCUCACACAGUGAAAAACGCUCAAAAAACUGCAUUUUCGCGCGAGCGGUCGACUCAUAGCCUGCUAUGCGUCGACUCGAAGCCUGCUA
rnacentral:lncRNA from 1 species